ensembl:snoRNA
GGAUGUGAUGAUACCGAUAUAGGAAGUGCCGUCCGAUGCGAAACUGACGAAGAUUCCUAAACGGUUAGCUUGCUAGCUAGCUAUCUGAUC